AGUCGCUGUGAACCCUCUCGAAUCAACAAAGUUCUCUCGCUCUCCUCGCACACAAAUUCAAAACCAAAGAACCCAAUCCAAAUCGCUCUUGCUCUCACUCGAAUCAACAAAUUGCUUUUAUAAUUCAUGAUUUGUUGCGUGGCUUCUAGAGAACUGAGAGAGAGAGAGAGAGCGAAAGAGAGAGAGAGAGACCUGCGUUUUGGAGGAAGACUUCCAUCCAUCUGGUUUUGUUUUGAGAUCGAUCUCAAUUAUUUAGGGAUUGCUGAUAGGUUUUCCAUUCGAUCGAGAGCACCUGAUUUUGGAACCAGUUUGCAGUCAGAUUCCUUGAAUCUUUUGGAUCCAGCUAUACUUGAACGAUUGAAUCAACUUUUGUCAUCAGAGGUGAUCAACUUGGUGUAGACUGUGUUGAUAGAAGUUGAGUCUGACUUUUGGCAUCUCUGUACCAGAUCUGGAAAUCUAGGGCUACCAAAAGGGAGUAAGAAAUGCAGACACAAACUAAACUCAUGAAGAGGAACAACUCCAUGAUUUGUGAUGCCAGGAGUAGCUCUACACAGGUUGAAAGAACAAAAAACAAUACAAAAAGAAGUACUAAUGAUUAAAGACAUGUUCUGGAAGCCUUCAUCGAGUGCAGUCAAGUGCAAACUGUUCAUUCUACUUUCGGUUUUCCUCUUAGAUAGAAACUCUCCGUCAAACGCAACUAUGAACUGUACUGAUCAAGCUGUGAGAUAUAAAGCUCAAAACUUGAAGGAAGGCCACCAAGUUGCAGGCUCUCACACAAAGUUGCUGGGGUGGGAAAGAGAAGAGGGUGGAUUCAAGAUUGUGGUGGACUUUGGAGGCAGGGUUUGGGUUUGUUUAUGGAGAGUGAU